rnacentral:lncRNA from 1 species
CCAAAACCACCUCAUCAUCCCAAACCCCCAGCAGUACACCCACCACAUGUUCCAAAACCACAUCCACCUUAUGUUCCAAAACCACCAAUUGUUAAACCUCCAAUAGUACAUCCACCUUACGUACCAAAACCCCCAGUUGUGAAACCACCACCAUAUGUCCCUAAACCACCUGUUGUGAGACCACCCUAUGUUCCUAAACCACCAGUUGUACCUGUAACACCACCUUAUGUUCCUAAGCCACCAAUUGUUUUCCCACCACAUGUUCCUCUACCUCCAGUUGUACCAUCACCACCACCUUAUGUACCAACACCUCCAAUUGUGAAACCACCAAUUGUUUUUCCACCACAUGUUCCUCUACCUCCAGUUGUGCCUGUAACACCACCUUAUGUGCAACCACCACCUAUUGUAACUCCACCAACACCAACACCUCCAAUUGUGACACCACCAACACCACCUAGUGAAACACCUUGUCCUCCACCAC